UGGGGAAUAUUGCACAAUGGGCGCAAGCCUGAUGCAGCCAUGCCGCGUGUAUGAAGAAGGCCUUCGGGUUGUAAAGUACUUUCAGCGGGGAGGAAGGUGUUGAGGUUAAUAACCACAGCAAUUGACGUUACCCGCAGAAGAAGCACCGGCUAACUCCGUGCCAGCAGCCGCGGUAAUACGGAGGGUGCAAGCGUUAAUCGGAAUUACUGGGCGUAAAGCGCACGCAGGCGGUCUGUCAAGUCGGAUGUGAAAUCCCCGGGCUCAACCUGGGAACUGCAUUCGAAACUGGCAGGCUAGAGUCUUGUAGAGGGGGGUAGAAUUCCAGGUGUAGCGGUGAAAUGCGUAGAGAUCUGGAGGAAUACCGGUGGCGAAGGCGGCCCCCUGGACAAAGACUGACGCUCAGGUGCGAAAGCGUGGGGAGCAAACA
rnacentral:rRNA from 1 species